UAAACUAAUGAGGAAUCUCCAUGGAAAAC
rnacentral:piRNA from 1 species